CUACCAGACUCCUACGGGAGGCAGCAGUGGGGGAUAUUGCACAAUGGGGGAAACCCUGAUGCAGCGACGCCGCGUGUGGGAAGACGGUCCUCUGGAUUGUAAACCCCUGUCCCCAGGGACGAAGAUGACGGUACCUGACUAAGAAGCCCCGGCUAACUACGUGCCAGCAGCCGCGGUAAUACGUAGGGGGCAAGCGUUAUCCGGAUUUACUGGGUGUAAAGGGAGCGUAGACGGAAUUGCAAGUCUGAUGUGAAAAUCCGGGGCCCAACCCCGGAACUGCAUUGGAAACUGUAUUUCUAGAGUGUCGGAGAGGCAAGUGGAAUUCCUGGUGUAGCGGUGAAAUGCGUAGAUAUCAGGAGGAACACCAGUGGCGAAGGCGGCUUGCUGGACGAUGACUGACGUUGAGGCUCGAAAGCGUGGGGAGCAAACAGGAUUAGAUACCCCCGUACA
rnacentral:rRNA from 1 species